UUCAUUGGGCCAUAUGAGAUCCUGGCAGUAAUUAGUCUGUCUCCGUCUUCAUCCGAGCCUCCGAGUCCAUCCCAGCUUCCACGUCUCUCAGAUAAAGCCAGUCGAGUCCAAGGUGCAUCUUCCCCCGGUCGUGCCCGCGCCUCCUGCCCGGUCGUGGGUGCCCCGUUCCUACAGCUGCGACCCUGCCCUCGUCUCGGACUACUGGUCGUCACUCCCUUAUUCCUACUUCUGGGCCGCCCGGGGGCAGCCGUUGAGGGUGGUGGUGGUGGUCGGGGGGGGUUCAGGGCCCGGCCGGGGUGGCAUGUUUCUUUAAUCCACAGGGAGCAACUGUGAGCAGAGUGCAGAGGGCCCAGGUGUGACUCAUCAGGCUCGUUAAGGAGUGCUCUUAAGGAGCAUGCUGUCGACUGCUCGUCGCCUGAGUGUCCCUACCAGUGUGAUCAUCUCCCUGGUUGUGCCUCUAGCUCCUCGAUCUUGCUCCUUGAUCUUGCUCCUUGAUCUUGCUCCUAGUUCUCGCCUUGCUCAUCCACGCCACGCUCUUCAGAUUCCUCUGAUUACUUCCAUCGAUCACCACCAAGAUCCACCCCGUUCUGGCUGAACUCCUCACGCCCCGCCACUGCUGCCCCGCUCCGUGCUCCUGGCUCCGAUCAUCCCGCUCUACCUCACCGCAGCUCCUCCAAUAAACACUCCUAACUCAUUCUCGACAUCUGAGUUGUUUUUUCUGCAUGUGGGUCAAAUCAGUCGUUACAACGAUGACAACGAUUGAUGUAAGCCACGCUACUUCCGAAGUUAGUGGCGAUGUUUAUAAGUGACACUGAGGAUGACGAUUCUGUUUGAUUUAAUGAUUUGGAGUGACACUGAUGGUUCGAUAAACUUGUUAGCAUGUUAUUUAUGCUAUAGUCAUAUCAAUACAAUUAAUAUGUUACAUCAGUCACGUUCUCAGUUCCUUGUUUAUGUAACGUUAGUAUACCGCACCGUUCAGACGGUUGUUGCCUAUUCUUAUUUCAGAUUGCCUGUCAAGAUGAUAUGUCUGUUCUUGGUGAUUUUAUCAAAUAAAUUUACCCCAAAAUUUAUAAAAUGAUACUCCGGUGCGACUUAUAUAUAUGUCUUUUUCUUCUUCAUUAUGCAUUCUAUGGCUGGUGCAAAUUGUACUCCGGAGCGACUUAUAGUCCGGAAAAUACGGUAAAAUAUUUACCAGGAUCUGACUUUGCAUUGUAGGCCAGAGUAGAAUCAAUCCGAAUCGGUUAUUGUGCUGUUAAAGAAAAUAAUGUACGACGGGCGUUAAAGCUGUUCUCUCUGCGGCAAAUGGCUUUCAUUUUUCGACAGCGACUGAGAGAAAAGAUAAGGGUGCAGUGGUUUCAUCAUUCUUAGUAAACAUUCAUAGGACAUUUGGUCUUAAAAGAGUUUUUUCUUCUCUAUUUAAAUACUGUCAUUCUGACAGCUUGUGUGGCUGACAGCUGUAGAGUGAAUGCAAAGUGCGCAUGCGUGAGAAGUCGCUUAAAGAAUGAGGAAGAAGGUCGGGAGCGGCCAGGAGGCGUGUCUGCACUGUGUUUGAAAGUCGCGUAACAAGCAAAGAAGAUAACGCAAAUUGAAACGAGGACUGCAGUGCAUGACUACUGUCUCCUUUUGGUGUGUUGUUGGCCCGCAGGGUUUCUCCUUCGACACGAUCCUGUAGGGAAUGCCGUUCUUGGAGAAAUGUCUCCUCUGCGCCUCCCAACUAAAGUUAGCGGCCGAGCAGAAAUGUAUGUACCUUUGUUCUCAAAUCGGGAUGCCCAAGGAAACGGAAUGCGCACCUGUUUGUCUAUGUUGAGGGGCACUAAGUUUGUCAGCCGCUGACGAGUCCUGGGCAAGGGAGGGGUGUACAAUGGAAUAUGGUACAAAAACAAAAAUAAACGUUUACUUUUAACAUCAAUAUGUAGUGAUCCCUCGUUUUUCACAGGAGAUACUUUCCAGAACUACACAUGAAAAACAAAAGUUCGCAACGUACAAACAUGUAUUAUUUAGAAAGUUAAACACUACUGUAUUGAAAUUUCCAAAACGUGGUGUGAUGUUUCUUGUUGGCCGCUAGAUGACAUGGAUGUAUUGCAAGUCAAUUAAAAGAGUGUUUUUUUCCUUGCCAAGCAAUACAAUGUGUCCAUCUUCAGAAUUACCAAUCUAUACUAACCCGGGGGACAUCAUGCACAGCGAAACCAAAGUGUGCCACGAUUAAGCAUGAAUCUCCUGUUGCAUUGUGGUCCAGUACACAAUAUUAAAGAUUUUUAAACCCUCCCAAAUACUUUAACGUGACAUAAACCUUUCUCAUUCCGUUAAUAACCAUUCCCACACUGUUCUGUGCAUGUACUUUACAGUAAAUAAAAGAACAGAUGCGCAAUAUUAACUCCUUCUGGUUGGUGCUUCUUCCCUCACGCGUGGCCAGCUGCCACCUCCUGCGCUUGAAUUCAGUCAAGUGGUAUCUAUGGCCUUUUUAAUCCAACGCUUUAGUUUGUUUGAUUCCGAUUUUCCCCAUGUCCCAGUCCAUGAUGUGAUUAUUUCUCCUGCAGUGAUCGGUAAUGGCUGAUUUGAGAUUUUCCUGUUUUGCUUUGUCUUUAGUGUCUGUGUAAAUUUCCCUGCUGUCUCCUUCUCGCAUUCUUUUUGAUGUUCCCUUUUUCUUAUGCUGAAUGACCUGCCUGUUUCCCUAAUGUAUGUUUUGUUGCAUGACUUGCAUGGUAUUUAACACUGUUGUGCAGCACCGCUUUGCUGGGCGGAGGGAUAUGUGACACGGUCACUGGGGAGAAGAGUAGUGUGUUGAUCGCAUGUCCAUUCGGCAGGCAAAUAAUGCCGAAUAAUUGACACAAAGAAGAGACAGAACAAGAUUAAGACGGACGUUACUGAAGAAAGGACGCUUUUAUACACAAACCCUCGUUUUGGGGGACAAAAGAAAUUAAUAUGAUGCCGCUUUUAAGUUAAAGCCAGUCGAUUUGGCUCUUAACAUGCACUGUAGAUGUUUCUUCCGGUCACUAGGGGGGGACUGGGCUAUUGUUGAGGACAUCUUGUUGCGUCACCCUUUUCUUUCUUUAUUUCCCAGUCACAUCUUCUCUGGAGCUAUACAUGUCGCUCGCUAGUUUAUGUAACUUAUCGAUUUGUGCAUGAAUAAAAUUAGCAUGAACAGACCUUCAUCAAGUAAAAUGCUAGAAGAAAUGCAUAAAAGCUACAACGAGAAAGAGACUGUGGCGAAGUAUAUCUGACGCUAUUCCAAUCCAACACUGAGGAGGAAGACUUUGAUGGUUUCAGUGCACAGGAGGAAGAUGAAGACAGCUCUCAGUGACUUUUACUGGUAUAUUUUUUUUUUUAACCAGCCCUGUUAGUGCUGUCCUACCGUGUUGCUGCUUUGUUACCACCGGGUCUCAGUGACUUUUACCGGUAUGUUUUUUUAUCCAGCCUUAUUAGUGCUGUGUUACUUCUGUGUUGCUGCGGUAUUACUGCCGCGUCACAGGCAGUGUUUGGAAAGAAAUGUUAAGGUGUUAUUAAAACUUUAAAAAUGC